rnacentral:rRNA from 1 species
CCACGGGAGGCAGCAGUGGGGAAUAUUGGACAAUGGGGGGAACCCUGAUCCAGCCAUGCCGCGUGUGUGAAGAAGGCCUUUUGGUUGUAAAGCACUUUAAGCGAAGAGGAGGCUACCUGGAUUAAUACUCUAGGAUAGUGAACGUUACUCGCAGAAUAAGCACCGGCUGACUCUGUGCCAGCAGCCGCGGUAAUACAGAGGGUGCGAGCGUUAAUCGGAUUUACUGGGCGUAAAGCGUGCGUAGGCGGCUGAUUAAGUCGGAUGUGAAAUCCCUGAGCUUAACUUAGGAAUUGCAUUCGAUACUGGUCAGCUAGAGUAUGGGAGAGGAUGGUAGAAUUCCAGGUGUAGCGGUGAAAUGCGUAGAGAUCUGGAGGAAUACCGAUGGCGAAGGCAGCCAUCUGGCCUAAUACUGACGCUGAGGUACGAAAGCAUGGGGAGCAAACAGGAUUAGAUACCCUGGUAGUCCAUGCCGUAAACGAUGUCUACUAGCCGUUGGGGCCUUUGAGGCUUUAGUGGCGCAGCUAACGCGAUAAGUAGACCGCCUGGGGAGUACGGUCGCAAGACUAAAACUCAAAUGAAUUGACGGGGGCCCGCACAAGCGGUGGAGCAUGUGGUUUAAUUCGAUGCAACGCGAAGAACCUUACCUGGCCUUGACAUAGUAGAAACUUUCCAGAGAUGGAUUGGUGCCUUCGGGAAUCUACAUACAGGUGCUGCAUGGCUGUCGUCAGCUCGUGUCGUGAGAUGUUGGGUUAAGUCCCGCAACGAGCGCAACCCUUUUCCUUACUUGCCAGCAUUUCGGAUGGGAACUUUAAGGAUACUGCCAGUGACAAACUGGAGGAAGGCGGGGACGACGUCAAGUCAUCAUGCCCCUUACGGCCAGGGCUACACACGUGCUACAAUGGUCGGUACAAAGGGUCGCUACCUAGCGAUAGGAUGCUAAUCUCAAAAAGCCGAUCGUAGUCCGGAUUGGAGUCUGCAACUCGACUCCAUGAAGUCGGAGUCGCUAGUAAUCGCGGAUCAGAAUGCCGCGGUGAAUACGUUCCCGGGCCUUGUACACACCGCCCGUCACACCAUGGGAGUUUGUUGCACCAGAAGUAGGUAGUCUAACCUUAGGGAGGACGCUUACCACGGUGUGGCCGAUGACUGGGGUGAAGUCGUAACAAGGUAGCCGUAGGGGAACCUGCGGCUG